rnacentral:rRNA from 1 species
GACGAACGCUGGCGGCGUGCUUAACACAUGCAAGUCGAACGGUGAAGCUCCAGCUUGCUGGAGUGGAUCAGUGGCGAACGGGUGAGUAACACGUGAGCAACCUGCCCCUGACUCUGGAAUAAGCGCUGGAAACGGCGUCUAAUACUGGAUACGAGAAGGGUCAGCAUGGGCACUUUCUGGAAAGUUGUGCGGUUGUGGAUGUUCUCGCGGCCUAUCAGCUUGUUGGUGAGGUAAUGAAUCACCAAGGCGACGACGGGUAGCCGGCCUGAGAGGGCGACCGGCCACACUGGGACUGAGACACGGCCCAGACUGCUACGGGAGGCAGCAGUGGGGAAUAUUGCACAAUGGGCGAAAGCCUGAUGCAGCGACGCCGCGUGAGGGAUGACGGCCUUCGGGUUGUAAACCUCUUUCAGCAGGGAAGAAGCGAAAGUGACGGUACCUGCAGAAGAAGCACCGGCUAACUACGUG